GACGAACGCUGGCGGCGUGCUUAACACAUGCAAGUCGAACGGAAAGGCCCUGCUUUUGUGGGGUGCUCGAGUGGCGAACGGGUGAGUAACACGUGAGUAACCUGCCCUUGACUUUGGGAUAACUUCAGGAAACUGGGGCUAAUACCGGAUAGGAGCUCCUGCUGCAUGGUGGGGGUUGGAAAGUUUCGGCGGUUGGGGAUGGACUCGCGGCUUAUCAGCUUGUUGGUGGGGUAGUGGCUUACCAAGGCUUUGACGGGUAGCCGGCCUGAGAGGGUGACCGGCCACAUUGGGACUGAGAUACGGCCCAGACUCCUACGGGAGGCAGCAGUGGGGAAUAUUGCACAAUGGGCGGAAGCCUGAUGCAGCAACGCCGCGUGCGGGAUGACGGCCUUCGGGUUGUAAACCGCUUUCGCCUGUGACGAAGCGUGAGUGACGGUAAUGGGUAAAGAAGCACCGGCUAACUACGUGCCAGCAGCCGCAGUGAUACGUAGGGUGCGAGCGUUGUCCGGAUUUAUUGGGCGUAAAGGGCUCGUAGGUGGUUGAUCGCGUCGGAAGUGUAAUCUUGGGGCUUAACCCUGAGCGUGCUUUCGAUACGGGUUGACUUGAGGAAGGUAGGGGAGAAUGGAAUUCCUGGUGGAGCGGUGGAAUGCGCAGAUAUCAGGAGGAACACCAGUGGCGAAGGCGGUUCUCUGGGCCUUUCCUGACGCUGAGGAGCGAAAGCGUGGGGAGCGAACAGGCUUAGAUACCCUGGUAGUCCACGCUGUAAACGGUGGGUACUAGGUGUGGGGUCCAUUCCACGGGUUCCGUGCCGUAGCUAACGCUUUAAGUACCCCGCCUGGGGAGUACGGCCGCAAGGCUAAAACUCAAAGGAAUUGACGGGGCCCCGCACAAGCGGCGGAGCAUGCGGAUUAAUUCGAUGCAACGCGUAGAACCUUACCUGGGUUUGACAUGGAUCGGGAGUGCUCAGAGAUGGGUGUGCCUCUUUUGGGGUCGGUUCACAGGUGGUGCAUGGCUGUCGUCAGCUCGUGUCGUGAAAUGUUGGGUUAAGUCCCGCAACGAGCGCAACCCUUGUUCACUGUUGCCAGCACGUUAUGGUGGGGACUCAGUGGAGACCGCCGGGGUCAACUCGGAGGAAGGUGGGGAUGACGUCAAGUCAUCAUGCCCCUUAUGUCCAGGGCUUCACGCAUGCUACAAUGGCUGGUACAGAGAGUGGCGAGCCUGUGAGGGUGAGCGAAUCUCGGAAAGCCGGUCUCAGUUCGGAUUGGGGUCUGCAACUCGACCUCAUGAAGUCGGAGUCGCUAGUAAUCGCAGAUCAGCAACGCUGCGGUGAAUACGUUCCCGGG
rnacentral:rRNA from 1 species